CAGGAGUGGAAAAUAAAACAUCUCACCAUCUUCCCGCCUGUCGCCCUCAUGUGAUGUCUCUCCGCCAACCACUGCUUGUCCUUAGCAUCUGCAGCAUACUGCAGGCAGACACACACACACACACACACACACACACACACACACACACACACACACACACACACACACACACACACACACACACACACACACACA